rnacentral:rRNA from 1 species
AUGCCCAUUGGUGUUCCAAAAGUACCUUACCGGAUUCCUGGAGAUGAAGAAGCGACUUGGGUUGACUUAUAUAAUGUUAUGUAUCAAGAAAUGACACUUUUUUUAGGUCAAGAGAUUCGUUGCGAGAUCACGAAUCAUAUUACAGGUCUCAUGGUAUAUCUGAGUAUAGAAGAUGGAAUUAGUGAUAUUUUUUUGUUUAUAAACUCCCCAGGCGGGUGGCUAAUCUCAGGAAUGGCUAUUUUCGAUACGAUGCAAACGGUGACACCAGAUAUAUAUACAAUAUGCCUCGGAAUAGCCGCCUCCAUGGCAUCCUUCAUUCUGCUUGGAGGAGAACCCACCAAGCGUAUAGCAUCCCUCACGCGAGGAUUAUGCUUCACCAACCUGCUAGUGCUUAUUAUCGGGCAAGGACACCCGAAUUUUUACUAG